UGAGGAAUAUUGGUCAAUGGGCGAGAGCCUGAACCAGCCACGUCGCGUGAAGGAAGACUGACCUUACGGUUUGUAAACUUCUUUUGUAGAGGGGUAAUGGCAGAUACGUGUAUUUGCGUGAAAGUACUCUACGAAUAAGCAUCGGCUAACUCCGUGCCAGCAGCCGCGGUAAUACGGGGAUGCGAGCGUUAUCCGGAAUUAUUGGGUUUAAAGGGAGCGCAGGUGGCUAAUCAGGUCAGUGGUGAAAAGCUAUGGCUCAACCAUGGUCUUGCCAUUGAAACCGUAUAGCUAGAGAGGAGACGAGGUAGGCGGAAUGUGUGGUGUAGCGGUGAAAUGCAUAGAUAUCACACAGAACUCCGAUUGCGAAGGCAGCUUACCAGGCUUUAUCUGACACUUAGGCACGACAGCGUGGGGAUCAAACAGG
rnacentral:rRNA from 1 species